GGGGACGACGACAUCUUGUCUUACAGAGAAGACACUAAAGAGUCAUCUAUCAUUCAUCGAGUGGACUCAUUGAGAUUAUCACAAGAUAUUUAUCGUGUUACAUAAAUUCUAAAUACUUGUGUUUCUAAAGCUAUGGAGGAAAGAUGGAAAGAAUCGUUUGACCUCCUGUCUCUUGGAACAUUCCCAGAUGGCUUUGAUUAGUCCAAGAAAAUAAACCUUAGGAGGUACGCUUCAAAAUUCAAGUUAAAGGAAGGAGAGCUCUACAUUGGGAGCAGAAGAGCCAUUAAAUCCAAAGAGGAGGCAAGACAACUCUUUAUAGAGUUUCACUCCUCUCCAAUGGGGGGGACAUACAGGCUUCCUGAAAACCUGCAGAGCAAUAUCCUCCAGAUUUUACUGGCUUGGCAUGUCAGUGGACAUUAACAACUGGGUAGGCCAUUUGUUUGAGUUAUUGUUGUUUUGUGUUUUUGUGUUUUAUUAACAGCUACUUUCUUAAAGGUCUUGGAAUGUGAUAAAGGCCCGAUGGUUGGAAAACCUUUGAUUGCUGCCCAGCCAUUGCAGUGUAUACAGGUACAUGUGCAGUGGUAUCUUAUCCAACAGCUAUUAAUAAAGAAGUAUUGAGUGUAAAAAAUAAUUAUAAUAGUAUUAUAAUAGUGUCUGCUAUCUGGGAGCUAAUUGGUAUUGACCUGACCGGACCGCUCCCAAAAACUGUGGAUGGCUUCCAGUACAUUUUAACAGCCACAGAUUAUUUCUCCAAACGUUUUUUUUUUUACUGUAACUGAUUUUAUUUCAGCUCAACACCAGCCUUUGCAGUAUUUUGGCUAUUCAAAGAAGUGUGACAGCUGCCUAUCAUCCCCAAACCAAUGGUCUGGAUGAGAGCACAUUGUUAAACAUAACUAUUUAUUACACUUUUAUUUUAGACGUCAUUUGUUCAGUGCUAGAGAAAACAUAAUGCUUUUAGUGUCUUUAUAGCAUAAACAAUAGGGAGGUAUUUGUGACACAUGUAUAUAUUUAAGUAUACUAUGUGUGGGAAUUCUUUUUUGAAAUGUUUUUUCUUUUUUAUUCACAAAUUAUACAUUUGUAGUGUACCAUGAUUUAUUUACUCACAGAAUGAUUUGAGUUUUAAAAGCUUAUGAAAAACAUUGUUUCUAGGGAAUGCAGAGUACUUCUGUGUGGUGUGCUCCUUUGCCGAAGAAAAUGCAGAUGAGAACAUGAUUGAAAAGGUGCAGUGUGGAUUGUGCAGUCGGUGGGCAAAUUUUGAGUGUGCCCAAUGUGCCCAUGAAAAUAAGGCUGCAUAUAUUUGCAAGAAAUGCCUUAAAAUAAAAUAAAGAUUUGAGAUCUUUUGGCUGUUAUUAUUAUUAUUUUAUGGAUCUUUUGAAUAAUUAUUAUCUAUUAAAUAUAU